CCUCUGUUCUCUUUCUCUCCUGCAGCCUGUCCUCUGUUCUCUUUCUCUCCUGCAGCUCCUCUCUUAGUGAGGUCAGGUUGUUAUUACUGUUCUGCCUGUCUUUUUGGAGCUCUCUCACCUCCUUUGUUAGAUCAUCCAGCUCUCUCUUGAGUCCGUCUCUCUCUUGCUGAACCUCUUUCAGCUGUGUUGCAAGGCUGCUGUCCUGUUCUGUCCGCACCUUGGUUAGGCGCUCCUCUAAGGUGUGGUUGAUGUUAACUCCUUGGUUAGGAGCUCCUCUAAGGUCUGGUUGAUGUUAACACCUUGGUUAGGAGCUCCUCUAAGGUCUGGUUGAUGUUAACACCUUGGUUAGGAGCUCCUCUAUGGUGUAGAUGUCUGGAUGCUGUUUGCUCUCCCUCAGCAGGACCACCUCCCACUCCACUCUGGUGAUCUCAUCCCUCAUGGCAGCCAUGGUGGUGAGGAGGGCCUGAGCCUGCUCUGCACUGAAGGGUCGCUACUCUUACCUGGCACCAUGACAGUCCCAGUCUGUUUCAAACAGCCUAAUGUUACCUGGCACCAUGACAGUCCCAGUCUGUUACCUGGCACCAUGACAGUCCCA
rnacentral:lncRNA from 1 species